rnacentral:rRNA from 1 species
GACGAACGCUGGCGGCGUGCCUAAUACAUGCAAGUCGAACGCAGUGGGGACGGGUGAGUAACACGUGGGUAACCUCCCAUCAGAGGGGAUAACACUUGGAAACAGGUGCUAAACCGAUACUGAUGGAUGGACUCGCGGUGCAUUAGCUAGUUGGUGAGGUAACGGCUCACCAAGGCCACGAUGCAUAGCCGGCCUGAGAGGGUGAUCAGCCACACUGGGACUGAGACACGGCCCAGACUCCUACGGGAGGCAGCAGGAGGGAAUAUUCGACAAUGGACGAAAGUCUGACGGAGCAAUGCCGCGUGAGUGAAGAAGGUUUUCGGAUCGUAAAACUCUGUUAUUAGAGAGGCGGUAUCUACCCAGGAAGCCACGGCUAACUACGUGCCAGCAGCCGCGGUAAUUC